UGGGGAAUAUUGCACAAUGGGCGCAAGCCUGAUGCAGCCAUGCCGCGUGUGUGAAGAAGGCCUUCGGGUUGUAAAGCACUUUCAGCGAGGAGGAAGGGGUUGAGUUUAAUACGCUCAAUCAUUGACGUUACUCGCAGAAGAAGCACCGGCUAACUCCGUGCCAGCAGCCGCGGUAAUACGGAGGGUGCAAGCGUUAAUCGGAAUUACUGGGCGUAAAGCGCACGCAGGCGGUUUGUUAAGUCAGAUGUGAAAUCCCCGCGCUUAACGUGGGAACUGCAUUUGAAACUGGCAAGCUAGAGUCUUGUAGAGGGGGGUAGAAUUCCAGGUGUAGCGGUGAAAUGCGUAGAGAUCUGGAGGAAUACCGGUGGCGAAGGCGGCCCCCUGGACAAAGACUGACGCUCAGGUGCGAAAGCGUGGGGAGCAAACAGG
rnacentral:rRNA from 1 species